rnacentral:RNase_P_RNA from 1 species
GCUACAAGCCUGGCUAUCGAUUCUUCGCUUCCAGGAGAAUAGGAAAGUCCGGACAGCACAGAGCAAUGCACCCUGUCAGAAGCGGGGGUUCUGAUUUUUCAGAAACAGAAAGUGCCACAGAAAAUAACUAUCUCGCCGCAAGGCGGGACAAAGGUGAAAACGUAGGGUAAGAGCCUACGGCUUUUGAUGGUAACAUCAUCGGCGGGUAAACCUUGCAUGCUGAAAUGCCACAUAAACCAUCGUUUGAGAACGGCUCGUUCGAGAUGGAGGGUAGGCAGCUCGAUAUACACCAUUGGUGUGUCAGAUAAAUGAUAGCCCACGACAGAAUCCGGCUUAUGGCUUGUAGCUUUU